rnacentral:rRNA from 1 species
CCUGGCUCAGGAUGAACGCUAGCUACAGGCUUAACACAUGCAAGUCGAGGGGCAGCAUGGUCUUAGCUUGCUAAGGCCGAUGGCGACCGGCGCACGGGUGAGUAACACGUAUCCAACCUGCCGUCUACUCUUGGACAGCCUUCUGAAAGGAAGAUUAAUACAAGAUGGCAUCAUGAGUCCGCAUGUUCACAUGAUUAAAGGUAUUCCGGUAGACGAUGGGGAUGCGUUCCAUUAGAUAGUAGGCGGGGUAACGGCCCACCUAGUCUUCGAUGGAUAGGGGUUCUGAGAGGAAGGUCCCCCACAUUGGAACUGAGACACGGUCCAAACUCCUACGGGAGGCAGCAGUGAGGAAUAUUGGUCAAUGGGCGAGAGCCUGAACCAGCCAAGUAGCGUGAAGGAUGACUGCCCUAUGGGUUGUAAACUUCUUUUAUAAAGGAAUAAAGUCGGGUAUGGAUACCCGUUUGCAUGUACUUUAUGAAUAAGGAUCGGCUAACUCCGUGCCAGCAGCCGCGGUAAUACGGAGGAUCCGAGCGUUAUCCGGAUUUAUUGGGUUUAAAGGGAGCGUAGAUGGAUGUUUAAGUCAGUUGUGAAAGUUUGCGGCUCAACCGUAAAAUUGCAGUUGAUACUGGAUAUCUUGAGUGCAGUUGAGGCAGGCGGAAUUCGUGGUGUAGCGGUGAAAUGCUUAGAUAUCACGAAGAACUCCGAUUGCGAAGGCAGCCUGCUAAGCUGCAACUGACAUUGAGGCUCGAAAGUGUGGGUAUCAAACAGGAUUAGAUACCCUGGUAGUCCACACGGUAAACGAUGAAUACUCGCUGUUUGCGAUAUACGGCAAGCGGCCAAGCGAAAGCGUUAAGUAUUCCACCUGGGGAGUACGCCGGCAACGGUGAAACUCAAAGGAAUUGACGGGGGCCCGCACAAGCGGAGGAACAUGUGGUUUAAUUCGAUGAUACGCGAGGAACCUUACCCGGGCUUAAAUUGCAGAUGAAUUACGGUGAAAGCCGUAAGCCGCAAGGCAUCUGUGAAGGUGCUGCAUGGUUGUCGUCAGCUCGUGCCGUGAGGUGUCGGCUUAAGUGUCAUAACGAGCGCAACCCUUGUUGUCAGUUACUAACAGGUUCCGCUGAGGACUCUGACAAGACUGCCAUCGUAAGAUGUGAGGAAGGUGGGGAUGACGUCAAAUCAGCACGGCCCUUACGUCCGGGGCUACACACGUGUUACAAUGGGGGGUACAGAGGGCCGCUACCACGCGAGUGGAUGCCAAUCCCCAAAACCUCUCUCAGUUCGGACUGGAGUCUGCAACCCGACUCCACGAAGCUGGAUUCGCUAGUAAUCGCGCAUCAGCCACGGCGCGGUGAAUACGUUCCCGGGCCUUGUACACACCGCCCG